CCUUGACUGCAUAAGCAGACUAACCCAAGACAAGGAGGAUUUUCAUG
rnacentral:ncRNA from 1 species